rnacentral:ncRNA from 2 species
UAGCAAACGUAGGAGUGUCUGGCAAAGAUAGCCAGGCUGAGAUCAGAUCCUUAGAACCUGAUUCGGUUCACACCGGCGUAGGAAAUCGUAAAAUUGAGGACU